GCUGCACGGCACAUCUUCAGGAGUUGCCAUGGUAACCCACAGGCUUACCCGGAGCGUCCUCGGAGGCAUGCUCCAAGUCCACUCCAUGGCUGGGCGCUCUGUGCUGGUGGGGCAGAACCACAGCCCCAAGAAUGAAGUCGUGUAAGUAAAGAAGGGGUGGCAGAGGCUGGGGGAGAGCACCCGGCCUCCCAAAGCCUGGACUCUGCUGACAGUGCUCCGUAAGCCAACCUGAGCGCCCCUUGUACACUUACUGAGACAUCCCAGCCCAGUAAAAGGCUGGAGCAUGUGGGUGAAACGAUUCUGCCAGGCACGUGGGCAUUUUCUCUUGUGUUCAGGUCUGGGGUGUUAGCCCAAUAGACCUUCCCUUCUGCUGCUGCCUUAAACACCCUGGGUGCAAAGGCUGGAUCCAUGCCCUGGCUGGCAAGAAAUCACGCACACCAGGAGGCUGGCUGUAGGUGCCCAGGUGCACGCGGGGCAGCACGUGGGCCGGGCUGGGACGGCGUCUGCACCCCAGGAAGAGGCUCCUCGGUGCGGGGCCACAUCCAGUCUUUCCAGCAGGUAACAGCGGCCGGACGGGGGAUGGUGCCUGAAGCCAUAGCCCAUGGUGCAUCCUGUUCCUACAGGCCCUCGCAGACCUGCGUGGACACGUCUUUCCAGAGCACGAGUAGGGGGAGAGGGAGAGAGAGACAAUCAAGCCGGCUCCAUGCUCAGUACGGAGCCCGACACGGGGCUCGAUCCCACAAGCCCAGGAUCGAUCGUGACCUGAGCCAGAUCAGGAGCUGGACUCUCAACCCACCCAGCCAACCAGGUGCCCCUUACCCUACAUGGUCUUAGGUGACGGCUUCUUUGACCUGGCUUCCUUGAUAGAUGUUCUCAAGGCUUAUCCACAUUGCCGUGUUUAUGGGUGCUUCCUGGCCAUGGCUGAGUAACAUUCCGCUGUACACAGCUGCUUGUGUUUUCUCAGGCGAUGGACAUUCGGGUCGUUUCUACCUUUCAGCUACUGCUAAUAAUGCAGCUGUGAACAUUUGUGUACACGCUUUCGUGUGGGCUUCUGUUUUUAUUUCUCCCGGGUAUAUACCUAGGAGUAGAGUUGCUUGGUCAUAUGGUGAUUCUAUAUUUAACAUUGUGAGAAGCGCCAGACUUUUCCAGAGUGGCUGUGCCACUUUAUACUCCCACAGCAGUGUGUGAGGUGAGCCGGGCCCGGCUUGAUGUUGUCUAGGGACAGGGUGUGCGGGUCUCGGCGGCGCUGCCCCUCCAUCGGGAAUGGGAGUCGCUUCCCUGCUCAGGCGAGGGCCCGGCACCGGGCGUCCACUGCCGAGGGGCAGGCUUGUGUCUUGAGCAGAGCAGACAGACAUUUCUUCAGAGCUAGGCACUGGCAGAGGGCGGGCAACCCCUUCCUGGGAGAAGCCUCUUUUCCUGGCCAGUCACGCAGCACAGGUCUGCAGCCCAGAGACCCCGAUCUCCAGCUCCAAGUCUUCCAGCCUGUGGUUACCACCCCGUCCUGAUGUGUGUAGACCACACAUUCUCAUUUCUCAGUAGAAAAAUAAGGCCCACACAGCAAGUACCUUGCCGCGAGCGCUGGAAGGAGAAGCCCUAGCGUUGAGAUUCGUAAUUGUUGAGUGUGUGCUGGGCAUCGUGCUGAGCAGCCUGACAGGCGCAGCGACAUUCCCGCGUGGUUUUACAGACACGAGGCUGAGGACGGGCAGUUGAGGAGCAUGCCCACGUCCGAGCAGAGCCCACGUGCGCACCCAGGCUGGGAACGCCCCCAGUGUCUGCGGGGUGCUGUUACACGCCCCCCCCCCCCCGCGUGUUUGCCGAGUGAGUAGAUGAGCUUUCCUGGCCGCCCUGCCUGUCAUCGCACAAAGUCCAAGCAGGUGGGGCCCAGGCUGGUUUCUCCAGCAAGCGUCGGGGGAGGUCGGGAAGUCAGGCUGGGCCGGGAGCUGUCAGCCGCCAUGCAGACCUGGCCAAGUCUCCGCCCACCCAGCGGGAGCUGCUGCCCGGAGGGAGUGUGGGGGGGGGGCCCCACACUGGGCACAUGUGGCCUGGCCCUGCUGCCUCCCACUGUCUCAGCUGGUCUCCCAAAGCCUGAGUCAGAGCCUCAGGCCACUGGUGCUCAGCUCAGCCUCUCACAGUUGGGCUGCAAAUCCCUUUAGGAAAGGAGAUCUGUGUGGCUGCAGUUCCCUCCUUGUGCCCACAGGUACUGUCCCCUGCACGGGUCCCCCCAAAACUGCCCUGGUCUCUCUUCCCAGAGGGAGAGCUCCUAGAGCGGGGUAGGCAAACCAGCCCCGUCAUUGCAGCCGGUCUCGGGGCUCAGCCGGUGCGCACCCCCUCCCUCCUCCGCUGUCCAGCCUACCCGGCCAGCCUCACCCCACCUCUGCUGUCACCUCUGCGGGUCUUGGGGGCCCACCUGGGGGUGUGACCCACAUCCUCAGUCCUGAGGAUCUGAGCCCCUGGUUGCCGUGCCUUCUCAGGCUGGGAUGGCCGCGCCGUCCACGCACAUGAGAGUCACACUGGGGGCCCCACGGGGCCAGGAGGGCGGGCACUCCACACGUGUCCCCACCCCCUCCCGCUGACAGAGCCCUGACUGUUCCUCCUGUCUGGGCCCGAGGGGCUGAAAUGCCAGGGGGGCCUUUCACUUGCGGUUUCCACUUCCUGGGUGCCCUUCCUCUGGGCUGCUUACGGCCCAGCCCUCCCUUCUUCUUUUUGAUGUCACCCAAUCACACAGCCCAUCUGCAGCCACCAGCCACCCUGUGAGAAUGGAAAGCAGCCCCCCGCACCCCUGCGUCCCUCCCUACUUCACCCCCCACAUUCUUUCCCCACAGGUGCCCUUGGCUCUCCCCCUAGGAUGCCAGGAUGCCAGCCCUGUGACGGCAGCCUUGGGCUCCAGCGCCUACAGCGGGUGUGAGCACCUCGUCCAGAUGUGCGGGCAGACUGCUGCCAGGCGGGGGGAGGAGAUGGGCAGGGGCCUGGUCCUGCC
ensembl:lncRNA